rnacentral:hammerhead_ribozyme from 1 species
AUCCGUCUGAAGUGUCCCAAAUAGGACAAAACGCGCUUCCUGGAU